rnacentral:rRNA from 1 species
GAUGAACGCUGGCGGCGUGCUUAACACAUGCAAGUCGAACGGAGUUAUAUUGGAUGAGCGCUUCGGCAGGAUUCCGAUAUAACUCAGUGGCGGACGGGUGAGUAACGCGUGAGCAACCUGUCCCAGACAGGGGGAUAACACUUGGAAACAGGUGCUAAUACCGCAUAAGACCACGUCCUCACAUGGGGAUGAGGUAAAAGGUGCAAACCGGUUUGGGGUGGGCUCGCGUCCGAUUAGAUAGUUGGUGAGGUAACGGCCCACCAAGUCAACGAUCGGUAGCCGACCUGAGAGGGUGAUCGGCCACAUUGGAACUGAGAGACGGUCCAAACUCC